rnacentral:rRNA from 1 species
UGUCGCUAAAAGGAUGGACCUGCGAUGCAUUAGCUAGUUGUAAGGUAACGGCUUGCCAAGGCGAUGAUGCAUAGCCGAGUUGAGAGACUGAUCGGCCACAUUGGGACUGAGACACGGCUCAAACUCCUACGGGAGGCAGCAGUAGGGAAUUUUCCACAAUGGACGCAAGUCUGAUGGAGCAACGCCGCGUGAGUGAAGAAGGUUUUCGGAUCGUAAAGCUCUGUUGUUGGUGAAGAAGGAUAGAGGUAGUAACUGGCCUUUAUUUGACGGUAAUCAACCAGAAAGUCACGGCUAACUACGUGCCAGCAGCCGCGGUAU